AGUGAACGCUGGCGGUAGGCCUAACACAUGCAAGUCGAACGGCAGCACAGUAAGAGCUUGCUCUUACGGGUGGCGAGUGGCGGACGGGUGAGGAAUAAAUCGGAAUCUACUUUUUCGUGGGGGAUAACGUAGGGAAACUUACGCUAAUACCGCAUACGACCUACGGGUGAAAGCAGGGGAUCUUCGGACCUUGCGCGAUUGAAUGAGCCGAUGUCAGAUUAGCUAGUUGGCGGGGUAAAGGCCCACCAAGGCGACGAUCCGUAGCUGGUCUGAGAGGAUGAUCAGCCACACUGGAACUGAGACACGGUCCAGACUCCUACGGGAGGCAGCAGUGGGGAAUAUUGGACAAUGGGCGCAAGCCUGAUCCAGCCAUACCGCGUGGGUGAAGAAGGCCUUCGGGUUGUAAAGCCCUUUUGUUGGGAAAGAAAAGCAGCAGGUUAAUACCCCGCUGUUCUGACGGUACCCAAAGAAUAAGCACCGGCUAACUUCGUG
rnacentral:rRNA from 1 species